rnacentral:rRNA from 1 species
CUCAAAUGAAUUGACGGGGGCCCGCACAAGCGGUGGAGCAUGUGGUUUAAUUCGAUGCAACGCGAAGAACCUUACCUGGUCUUGACAUCCAUGGAAUCCUUCAGAGAUGAGGGAGUGCCGGUUUACCGGAACCAUGAGACAGGUGCUGCAUGGCUGUCGUCAGCUCGUGUCGUGAGAUGUUGGGUUAAGUCCCGCAACGAGCGCAACCCUUGCCUUUAGUUGCCAGCAGUUCGGCUGGGCACUCUAAAGGGACUGCCGGUGUUAAACCGGAGGAAGGUGGGGAUGACGUCAAGUCCUCAUGGCCUUUAUGACCAGGGCUACACACGUACUACAAUGGCCGAUACAAAGGGCAGCGACACUGCGAGGUGAAGCCAAUCCCGUAAAAUCGGUCUCAGUCCGGAUUGGAGUCUGCAACUCGACUCCAUGAAGUUGGAAUCGCUAGUAAUCGUGGAUCAGCAUGCCACGGUGAAUACGUUCCCGGGCCUU